CCUACGGGUGGCAGCAGUGGGGAAUAUUGGACAAUGGGCGAAAGCCUGAUCCAGCCAUGCCGCGUGUGUGAAGAAGGCCUUCGGGUUGUAAAGCACUUUCAGUGGGGAAGAAAGCCUUGGGGCUAAUACCCUCGAGGAAGGACAUCACCCACAGAAGAAGCACCGGCUAACUCCGUGCCAGCAGCCGCGGUAAUACGGAGGGUGCGAGCGUUAAUCGGAAUUACUGGGCGUAAAGCGCGCGUAGGCGGUCUGAUAAGCCGGUUGUGAAAGCCCCGGGCUCAACCUGGGAACGGCAUCCGGAACUGUCAGGCUAGAGUGCAGGAGAGGAAGGUAGAAUCCCCGGUGUAGCGGUGAAAUGCGUAGAGAUCGGGAGGAAUACCAGUGGCGAAGGCGGCCUUCUGGACUGACACUGACGCUGAGGUGUGAAAGCGUGGGUAGCAAACAGGAUUAGAUACCCGUGUAGU
rnacentral:rRNA from 1 species